CACACACACACACACACACACACACACACACAACCUCUUGCAGGCAGACUCAGAAUCUUGAGCCCAUUUAUUAGGGAACAGGUGUUAUCGGGAUUCCAUCACUGCAUUCCCAGAAUCCUGCAUUGUGAAAGUCUUCCCUUUUUUUUUUAAAUGUACAAUGGCAUUUUAUUCUACAUACAAAACAACCAUAGGUCGCAACAGAUGUGACAGCUGUGACUGCUCUCUCUCUCCUUCGUCUGCUGGGUCCUCUGUGUUUGCCUACCUGCUACAGGUAGCCAGUGGGCGGGGCUGAGAGGCUUGUCAGCUGAUGAGGUGCACCUGUACAGGUCUGCCACGCAGGCUGUAGCCAGUCUCUCUCUCUUUCCACAGAGGCAGGUGGGCUUGGGUUCUGUUUAGGGUGGUUCCUUAAGGUUUUGGACCUUUGGAUUGGUUCCAUGUUUUUUUUUUAUGUUAACACUAUUCAACAUCCCCACAGCACACUUUCCACUGCCCAUAUACAUAGGCUAGUCGAAAGAAUUGUGUGUUUGGUCAGUAGUUCAGUUGGUUGGUCACAUAUGUUGGUUUGCUGUUCAGGUUUGGUUUGUUGCAUUUUGUUUGGGUAUUUCCAACAUGGUAAAGAUGGUUUGUUGUUCCCAGUAUUUGUUUUGUCUGUCUGGGUAAGUUUCCUCCGUUCUGGCUCGGUCGGUCCUUGUGAGUUUGGUACUGGUUUUCUGUCCAAACCAUAUAAUCGCACAUUUUCUAAUCUUCCAUACGCUACACUAAUCCCUUUACAGAUUUCAUGAUACUUACUUUAUUCUAAUAAAUAACUUUAUCCCUUAUCAGGUGUGGAUCCCGAUCUUUGCUCUGACCCGAGCCUCGUCUUAAUGCAGCCAAGGAGAUGGAAGAGCGUUAUGAAUAAUUAUUAGAUGAUUGUGUUGUACAAUGAAAGACAGUAAAGAUUCAAUAUGAAUGGCAAAAUAAGGAUGGGAUUUUAUUUGAACAAUAAAAUAUGUGUUGGGCAAAUUAUAGAGAGGCUGAGAUUAUAGAUUUCAUAUUCAAAAGGCGAAGGGGUGAAAAAAUUUAAGAAAUAUAUUUAAGAAAUAUAGGCCUACUCAAAGCCCAAAUCAUUGAUAUCAUACCCUAUCCAAUAAUAAAGAAAUUUGAAUUUGAAUGGUAACAAUUCCGUUAAAUCCUCGUCCUCGUUUUGAACGUCUCACUCAUCAGUGUGUUCUUUCUGAUUAGCUCUUAAUUGAGAUCACCUGUCACGCACCCCUAUAUUAAAGGUGAACACAAUGGGUUUGGUUUACUUUUCGCAUCGGCCUGUGUCAAUCGAGGUUGAGUUUAGUGAGGGUUGAAAGUUUUCGAUCUAGAUUGCAGAUCACUAUUGUCACUUUAUACAAACUGAAAGUAUGCGUUGUUGCGUGUUUGUUUUUGUGGGCAUUUGACUGAACAGCCCAGACAAAUAUUGCUACCAACAUGGCACUUCGAAACAGACCACCGCAGUGUUAGAUGACUGACAAGAUCUAUGGGGGGGCCCCCUUUGGGCCCCCCCAUACCAACUUAGUCUUCAAAGGAAUCUAGUGCCAUGGGACUCCAGUGUCUUCAAAACAUCCUCGGAAUACAUGUGUAUGAAUGGUCCACCGAAGGGUUGAUCUGGAAGCCACCACGGUCCACGCAGUAAUCUGCUGCGUGGGCCGUAGUGGCUUCCAGAGCCAUCUUUCGGUCUUGGUCAGGAUUUGUUACAGUUGCCCUUCAAUGUAGCAGGCUACGGGUUUCUGAAGAAGCCUGCUUUACGUAGCAUUGGAGUACAAAUAUUGUGCAAAAUGCUCAUGUAAUUGCACUAGCACUAGUAACCUGUAGAUUAGCUUAGUUUAACGUCAUUCCGUGCUGUCUGUCAAAUGUGUGGCUUACUUUAAGUCCACAAGGCCCUCUGGUAAACCACGUUGGAACACCCCUGGACAAGGUGAUUAGUCACUGGGUGUGUGCUAAAGUUUUGUUCCAUUUUUCACUAGUUGGUUAAGGUUUGGUAGAAUUGUUUGGAUGCUAGCGACGUGUUGGCGUAUGUACAAGAGCCUACCGUGGCCAGGCCACAGUUGCGACGGUCACGGCCAGAUGGCCUAGUGUGAGUGCAACCUUGAUUGCAUUUGUAUACUGUUUACCAUUGGAUGUUUAUGCAAUUUGGCUUAAUUCAUCCGCAGUAAAGCUGCAUUUGACUAUUCCAGGGUCGUUUUGUACAGGCUUUCAAUUGACCAUGUUGACUAGUUUGUGGGAAGUUUUCUUCUUUUUUUUUUACCCUUGCUUACAAUCCAACGGUUGUGACCACUUAUGCAACUGGGCUGUGAACCUUGCAAUUCUAGUUGCAUAUUUGUACACGCAAGCUUGUCCAUUUCUAUCGCCAUCACUAACACUAGCUUCAGCAUUUCCUUGUAGGCCAUUAGCUGACUUGUGUAUUGGAGUGAUGAUUUGGGUAUUUUAAGAUGCUUGAAAACCUAAAAUAAAGCAAAAUGCGUGUCUGGUGUGCAAGAGCCAAUUUGUUGGCUUGCAGUAGUCGAGGAGUUGCCGUAGGUCGUAAGCCAUCUGGAGGUUGUGGCAAUGGAGGCUUGUGGUAGAUCUGCCAUCCAAGAAAGGUUAAUUCUUCUGAAGCAUGAUUAAUAGUUUAGUAAAUUGAAUCUAUUCAUAUAGAACUAUAAAAUCCAAGACUGCAGCCAGUAACUUGGAUCGCAAUAUGUGGAAAGUAUUAGUCUUCAUUUGUAACAACAGAAUAAUUAACAUGACUAACUGGGUUUCUUCCAUUUUCUAACUAGGGGGACUUGACUGGUGAGUCUACUGGAUUAAUCAGUAGCGGUACUUUGCCCAACAGAUUUGAUGGCAUGACUACAGGGUGACAAAGACAAUUAUUCC